GAUGAACGCUGGCGGCGUGCCUAAUACAUGCAAGUCGAGCGAACAAACGUGGAGCUUGCACCUAUUGCAUUAGCAGCGGACGGGUGAGUAACGCGUAGGUAACCUGCCUAUGAGACUGGGAUAACUUCGGGAAACGGGAGCUAAUACCGGAUAAUAUUUCUAACCACAUGGUUCGAGAUUGAAAGAUGCCUUUGCUUCACCUUAUAGUUAUACCUCCGUCUAAUUGCCUAUUUGGUAAGGUAAGGGCUUACAAAGGCAACAAAACGAAGCCGACUUGAGAGGUUGACCGGCAACACUGGAACUGAGACACGGCCAAGACUCCUACGGGAGGCAGAAGUAGGGAAUCUUGCGCAAUGGGCGAAAGCCUGACGGAGAAACGCCGCGUGAGUGAUGAAGGUCUCUGGAUCGUAAAACUCUGUUAUUAGGGAAGACGAAACGUGUAAUUAAAAGCGCACCUCGUGACGGUACCUAAUCAGAAAGCGACGGCUAACUACGUG
rnacentral:rRNA from 1 species